GUCAAUGAUCCCCCCUAACCCCUUAACAAGGGGGGAACAGGAGAUCCAAGUCCCCCUUUUUAAGGCAGGGCUGUUUCAUUCUACAAAAUUGGGGAGACAAAUUGAGUCCCCAAUUUUCUAAAUUAAAACCCNCCUGGGAUGCGAAGCUAGUCCCCUGCUCUGUCGCUUAGUAUUAAACAGCCAUUUGGGAGGCAGUGUACUCAGCCUAACAAGCCUUGAUAACAUUGGCAAAGCUAACUUUACCCUAGAAAUAGG
rnacentral:sRNA from 1 species